rnacentral:rRNA from 1 species
UACAGAGGUCUCAAGCGUUGUUCGGAUUCAUUGGGCGUAAAGGGUGCGUAGGCGGUUUGUUGCGUCGGCUGUGAAAUCCCGAGGCUCAACCUCGGGUCUGCAGUCGAUACGAGCAAACUAGAGUGUUGCAGGGGAGACUGGAAUUCCUGGUGUAGCGGUGAAAUGCGCAGAUAUCAGGAGGAACACCGGUGGCGAAGGCGGGUCUCUGGGCAGUAACUGACGCUGAGGAGCGAAAGCGUGGGGAGCGAACAGG